CCAGUUUCUGGAUCAGACAACUGGCUGUACAGGACUGUCCGGCAGAUGAAUGGAGUGCACCAAACAUAGAUCCUACCUGCACUGCCUGUCCAACUGGAAAAGGGGUAGCCUCUGGAGCAGGAACACAAGAAAGUGACUGCACAUGGAAAGAAGAUGAACAGGGAGACAACCAGAACUACUCUGAUGCAGCAGCCCUGAAAGUCAGCUUAAUUUUCCUCGUCGUUCUCCUGUUUGCUGUAAAUAUGAGCAUCUAAAAUUGUUGUGGGCUUGAAUGGUUCUACGGUACAAAACACUAUUUUAACAUGGUGUUUUAUCGGGAUAUGAUAGAAAAAUAACAACUCAAAAACCCUGACGAAUCUAUAAAUUUGUAAUCUAUAAUUAAACUUUUGAUAUUUAAAAUUUUAAUAUUUUAGACAACUUUUAAUGUUUUAAUAAAAAAUAAAACUAAAAGAAAGAGACUGCGAUUCAGUAAUUAUUGAUAUUCAUUAUAUGUUUAUUCAAAAUACUUAUUAUAUUUAUUGUAAUAUACAUUUUUUUCCCGAUCCAUGACUCUUGUGUCAGGACUAGGAACGUGAACGAA